rnacentral:rRNA from 1 species
GGCGAGUGAAGCGGCAAAAGCUCAAAUUUGAAAUCUGGCGCCUUCAGGUCGUCCGAGUUGUAAUUUGAAGAAGGUAUCUUUGGGCCCGGCUCUUGUCUAUGUUCCUUGGAACAGGACGUCACAGAGGGUGAGAAUCCCGUGCGAUGAGAUGACCCGGACCUGUGUAAAGUUCCUUCGACGAGUCGAGUUGUUUGGGAAUGCAGCUCUAAGUGGGUGGUAAAUUCCAUCUAAAGCUAAAUAUUGGCGAGAGACCGAUAGCGAACAAGUACAGUGAUGGAAAGAUGAAAAGAACUUUGAAAAGAGAGUGAAAAAGUACGUGAAAUUGUUGAAAGGGAAGGGCUUGAGAUCAGACUUGGUAUUUUGCAUGUUGCUCUCUCGGGGGCGGCCGCUGCGGUUUACCGGGCCAGCAUCGGUUUGAACCGGCAGAAUAAUGGCGGAAGAAUGUGGCACGGCUUCUGCUGUGUGUUAUAGCCUCUGACGAUCUGUGCCACUCUAGACCGAGGACUGCGGUUUUUCCCUAGGAGGUGGGCUUAAGGAUUUUAAUUCCCCCCCUAAAAAAAGGG